rnacentral:rRNA from 1 species
GGAAACUCUGGUGGAAGUCCGUUGCGAUUCUAACGUGCAAAUUGAUCGUCGAACUUGGGUAUAGGGGCGAAAGACUAAUCGAACCAUCUAGUAGCUGGUUCCUCCCGAAAUUUCCCUCAGGAUAGCUGCAACCGAAUAGUUUUAUCAGGUAAAGAGAAUGAUUAGAGGCCUCAGGGAUGGAACGUUCUUGACCUAUUCUCAAACUUUAAAUGGGUAAGAGCCCGGGGUUGUUUAAUUAAACCCUGCGGUCGAAUGGCGGUUGCUAGUGGGCCAAUCUGGGUAAGCUAGAUUGGCGAUGCGGGAUGAACCGAACGUCUAGUUAAAGUGCCAAAGUAUCCGCUAACCUAGAUCCCACAAAAGGUGUUGGUUCAUUAAGACAGCAGGACGGUGGCCAUGGAAGUUGGAAACCGCUAAGGAGUGUGUAACAACUCACCUGCCGAAUGAACUAGCCCUGAAAAUGGAUGGCGCUUAAGCGGAUGACUUAUACUAGACCAACACUACAAGUACAAGGCAGUGUUGAGUAGGGGGGCGUGGAACUCGUUGUGAAUUCUGUGGCGUGAGCCGAGAUGAAAUGAGUUCUAGUGCAGAUCUUGGUAGCAGUAGCAAAUAUUCAAAUGAGAACUUUGAAGACUGUCGUGGAGAAAGGUUCCAUGUGAACAGUAAUUGGACAUGGGUGAGUCGAUCCUAAGAGAUAGGAAAAUUCUUUUUCAAAGUAGCCCUUUUUCGGAAGGGCUCGCUUAUCGAAAGGGAAUCGGGUUAAUAUUCCCGAACCAGGGAGUGGAUACUGAGUGGUAACACAAGCAAAAUCGGGGACAUUAGCGGGAGCCCCGAGAAGAGUUCUCUUUUCUUUUUAACAUUUCAAUGGACCUUGGAAUCGGGUUGACCGGCGAUAAGGUUCAAUGAAUGGUAAAGCGGCAUACUUUUUGUGUCGUUCGGUGCGCUCCCGAUGAUCCGUGAAAACCCGGUGGCGUGACUUAUUCGCACUCCUGGUCGUACUCAUAACCGCCUCAGGUCUCCAAGGUGUGAAGCCUCUAGCCUAUAGAAAAAUGUAGAUAAGGGAAGUCGGCAAAAUAGAUCCGUAACCUCGGGAUAAGGAUUGGCUCUGAGGGUUGGGCCUAGGGGUCUCAGAAACGAUGGAUGUGGCGGCUAGGAGAGGAUUGCGGUUUACGCUGCGGACCUCACCCGGUCGUUCUCCGGAGGUUUUGAGAAUGUCUUCGGACUUUCCUUAGUGCGGGGAACAACUAACUCAGAACUGGAGCGGACAAGGGGAAUCCGACUGUUUAAUUAAAACAAAGCAUUGCGAUGGCUGGAGACGGUGUUGACGCAAUGUGAU